AUUGAACGCUGGCGGCAGGCCUAACACAUGCAAGUCGAGCGGAUGAAGGGAGCUUGCUCCUGGAUUCCGCGGCGGACGGGUGAGUAAUGCCUAGGAAUCUGCCUGGUAGUGGGGGAUAACGUCCGGAAACGGGCGCUAAUACCGCAUACGUCCUGAGGGAGCAAGUGGGGGAUCUUCGGACCUCACGCUAUCAGAUGAGCCUAGGUCGGAUUAGCUAGUUGGUGGGGUAAAGGCCUACCAAGGCGACGAUCCGUAACUGGUCUGAGAGGAUGAUCAGUCACACUGGAACUGAGACACGGUCCAGACUCCUACGGGAGGCAGCAGUGGGGAAUAUUGGACAAUGGGCGAAAGCCUGAUCCAGCCAUGCCGCGUGUGUGAAGAAGGUCUUCGGAUUGUAAAGCACUUUAAGUUGGGAGGAAGGGCAGUAAGUUAAUACCUUGCUGUUUUGACGUUACCAACAGAAUAAGCACCGGCUAACUUCGUG
rnacentral:rRNA from 1 species